UACGGAGGGUGCAAACGUUGCUCGGAAUCAUUGGGCGUAAAGCGCGCGUAGGCGGCUCGGAAAGUCGGGCGUGAAAUGCCGGGGCUCAACCCCGGGACUGCGUCCGAUACUUCCGAGCUGGAGGUAGGUAGGGGAGAUCGGAAUUCCUGGUGUAGCGGUGAAAUGCGCAGAUAUCAGGAGGAACACCGGUGGCGAAGGCGGAUCUCUGGGCCUUACCUGACGCUGAGGCACGAAGGCCAGGGGAGCAAACGGG
rnacentral:rRNA from 1 species